rnacentral:rRNA from 1 species
GAUGAACGCUGGCGGCGUGCCUAAUACAUGCAAGUCGAGCGAACAGACGAGGAGCUUGCUCCUCUGACGUUAGCGGCGGACGGGUGAGUAACACGUGGAUAACCUACCUAUAAGACUGGGAUAACUUCGGGAAACCGGAGCUAAUACCGGAUAAUAUAUUGAACCGCAUGGUUCAAUAGUGAAAGACGGUUUUGCUGUCACUUAUAGAUGGAUCCGCGCCGCAUUAGCUAGUUGGUAAGGUAACGGCUUACCAAGGCGACGAUGCGUAGCCGACCUGAGAGGGUGAUCCGGCAAACUGGAACUGAGACACGGUCCAGACUCCUAAGGGAGGCAAGAAGAGGGAAACUUCCGCAAUGGGCGAAAGCCUGAAGGAGCAACGCCGCGUGAGUGAUGAAGGGUUUCGGAUCGUAAAACUCUGUUAAUAGGGAAGAAAAAAUGUGUAAGUAACUAUGCACGUCUUGACGGUACCUAAUCAGAAAGCCACGGCUAACUACGUG